UACGUAGGGUGCGAGCGUUAAUCGGAAUUACUGGGCGUAAAGCGUGCGCAGGCGGUGAUGUAAGACAGAUGUGAAAUCCCCGGGCUCAACCUGGGAACUGCAUUUGUGACUGCAUCGCUGGAGUACGGCGGAGGGGGAUGGAAUUCCGCGUGUAGCAGUGAAAUGCGUAGAUAUGCGGAGGAACACCGAUGGCGAAGGCAAUCCCCUGGGCCUGUACUGACGCUCAUGCACGAAAGCGUGGGGAGCAAACAGG
rnacentral:rRNA from 1 species